UGGGGAAUAUUGCACAAUGGGCGCAAGCCUGAUGCAGCCAUGCCGCGUGUAUGAAGAAGGCCUUCGGGUUGUAAAGUACUUUCAGCGGGGAGGAAGGGAGUAAAGUUAAUACCUUUACUCAUUGACGUUACCCGCAGAAGAAGCACCGGCUAACUCCGUGCCAGCAGCCGCGGUAAUACGGAGGGUGCAAGCGUUAAUCGGAAUUACUGGGCGUAAAGCGCACGCAGGCGGUUGAUUGAGUCAGAUGUGAAAUCCCCGGGCUUAACCCGGGAAUUGCAUCUGAUACUGGUCAGCUAGAGUCUUGUAGAGGGGGGUAGAAUUCCAUGUGUAGCGGUGAAAUGCGUAGAGAUGUGGAGGAAUACCGGUGGCGAAGGCGGCCCCCUGGACAAAGACUGACGCUCAGGUGCGAAAGCGUGGGGAGCAAACAGG
rnacentral:rRNA from 1 species